rnacentral:rRNA from 1 species
CAGUAGCCGCGGGAAUACGAAGGGUGCAAGCGUUAAUCGGAAUUACUGGGCGUAAAGCGCGCGUAGGUGGUUUGGUAAGAUGGAUGUGAAAUCCCCGGGCUCAACCUGGGAACUGCAUCCAUAACUGCCUGACUAGAGUACGGUAGAGGGUGGUGGAAUUUCCUGUGUAGCGGUGAAAUGCGUAGAUAUAGGAAGGAACACCAGUGGCGAAGGCGACCACCUGGACUGAUACUGACACUAAGGUGCGAAAGCGUGGGGAGCAAACAGGAUUAGAUACCCCCGUAGUCCCUGUCUCUUAUAC